rnacentral:rRNA from 1 species
CCUACGGGAGGCAGCAGUGGGGAAUUUUGGACAAUGGGGGCAACCCUGAUCCAGCAAUGCCGCGUGUGCGAAGAAGGCCUUCGGGUUGUAAAGCACUUUUGUCAGGGAAGAAAUCUUUUGGGCUAAUACCCCGGAAGGAUGACGGUACCUGAAGAAUAAGCACCGGCUAACUACGUGCCAGCAGCCGCGGUAAUACGUAGGGUGCAAGCGUUAAUCGGAAUUACUGGGCGUAAAGCGUGCGCAGGCGGUUCGCUAAGACAGUCGUGAAAUCCCCGGGCUUAACCUGGGAACUGCGAUUGUGACUGGCGAGCUAGAGUACGGCAGAGGGGGGUGGAAUUCCUGGUGUAGCAGUGAAAUGCGUAGAGAUCAGGAGGAACACCGAUGGCGAAGGCAGCCCCCUGGGCUAGUACUGACGCUCAUGCACGAAAGCGUGGGGAGCAAACAGGAUUAGAUACCCUAGUAGUCCACGCCCUAAACGAUGUCAACUAGUUGUUGGUAGGGUUAAACCUAUUAGUAACGUAGCUAACGCGUGAAGUUGACCGCCUGGGGAGUACGGUCGCAAGAUUAAAACUCAAAGGAAUUGACGG